GGGCGUAAGGGCUCGCAGGCGGUUUCUUAAGUCUGAUGUGAAAGCCCCCGGCUCAACCGGGGAGGGUCAUUGGAAACUGGGGAACUUGAGUGCAGAAGAGGAGAGUGGAAUUCCACGUGUAGCGGUGAAAUGCGUAGAGAUGUGGAGGAACACCAGUGGCGAAGGCGACUCUCUGGUCUGUAACUGACGCUGAGGAGCGAAAGCGUGGGGAGCGAACAGGAUUAGAUACCCUGGUAGUCCACGCCGUAAACGAUGAGUGCUAAGUGUUAGGGGGUUUCCGCCCCUUAGUGCUGCAGCUAACGCAUUAAGCACUCCGCCUGGGGAGUACGGUCGCAAGACUGAAACUCAAAGGAAUUGACGGGGGCCCGCACAAGCGGUGGAGCAUGUGGUUUAAUUCGAAGCAACGCGAAGAACCUUACCAGGUCUUGACAUCCUCUGACAAUCCUAGAGAUAGGACGUCCCCUUCGGGGGCAGAGUGACAGGUG
rnacentral:rRNA from 2 species